GCCAGCCCGGGGAGGAGCCAGAAGCGGCGGCCCGGGUGGGGCCCAAGCUCUUCCGGUGCCAAGUUUCCGGCUCCGGGUCCCGGGAGGCGGACCGCCGGGCCACAGGCGGAGCCAGCGCUCCGCCGCGGCUUUCGGACUCGGACCAUGGCUUCAGGCAGGUGGCCCUGGCGGCGCUGCUGCUCCUGGAGGCCGGCGGCCCGGAGCCCCGGGCCCGGCUCCCCCGGCCGCGCGGGGCCGCCCGGGACGCCCUCGGCUGCAGACGCCGGCGCUCAGAUGUCCUAUUUUAAUCUUGUGAAGAGUUUAACAUCUGCUUUUCCACAUAGGUAUAGUAUGUCACGGUUCCAUCACACGACGUCGGCAGCGUGCUGUUGUAGCAAAACACAGAGUGGGGAGAAAUACACUGACCCCUUCAAACUCGGUUGGAGAGACUUGAACGGUCUGUAUGAGGACAUUAGAAAGGAACUACUCAUAUCUACAACCGAACUUAAGGAAAUGUCUGAAUACUACUUUGAUGGAAAAGGAAAAGCCUUUCGACCAAUUAUCGUGGUGCUAAUGGCCCGGGCGUGUAAUAUUCAUCAUAAUAAUUCCCGAGACGUGCAAGCAAGCCAGCGCUCCAUAGCCUUAAUUGCAGAAAUGAUCCACACUGCUAGUCUGGUACACGAUGACGUCCUUGACGAUGCGAGUUCUCGGCGAGGAAAACACACGGUUAAUAAGAUCUGGGGUGAACAGAAGGCUGUUCUUGCUGGUGAUUUAAUUCUUUCUGCAGCAUCUAUAGCUCUGGCACGAAUUGGAAAUACAACUGUGAUAUCUAUUUUAACCCAAGUUAUUGAAGAUUUGGUGCGCGGUGAAUUUCUUCAGCUAGGGUCAAAAGAAAACGAGAACGAAAGAUUUGCACACUACCUUGAAAAGACCUUCAAGAAGACUGCCAGUCUGAUAGCCAACAGUUGUAAAGCAGUCUCUGUCCUAGGAUGCCCGGACCCAGUGGUGCAUGAGAUUGCCUAUCAAUACGGAAAAAACGUGGGCAUCGCCUUUCAGCUGAUAGAUGACGUGUUAGACUUCACCUCAUGUUCUGACCAGAUGGGCAAACCAACAUCAGCGGACCUGAAGCUUGGGUUAGCCACGGGCCCGGUGUUAUUUGCUUGCCAACAGAACUCAGUGAUUCCAUUAUUGAAACCAGUGACCUUGCUUUUGAUCAAUUUCUGAUCCAAGAAAGGAGAGAUCAUCAUUUAUCCAUUGUCUAGCAGAGCUGUAACCCGGGUAUUAUGCCCACUCUACAAAUAAGAAAGUGAUGCGCAAACUUGGCCAAAAUUAGACAUCUGGUAAAUGGCACAGCAGACAAUUAAACACCAACUCUUCUAAGACCAGUAUUCCUUUCACUCCUCAAUGUCCUACUAUGGCCAGCGCAGACGUUGAUGAGAGCUUGUCUGAUCCCCCGUGGGGCUUCCCACAGAGCAGGUAACUCGUGUGCUCUGGGACUGGCGACACUCCAGAAGAGCCUCCGUCGGCCCUCUGGAUCUGUCAUUAACCUGCCCAUUUAGCGGAGUCCUUGUAAGAUGUUUGUAAUCUUUUUCCGUAGGUGGGUGAGUUUUGUCUGCCAAUUCUUAGUCUUUGAGUUUUUCCAUCUGCAAACUCUGAGUCUCGACCACAACAAGCAACUUUGGGAAGCCAUUUUUCCUUUUUAACACAGUUAUUGUCUUGAAAUAGGAAUUUGUUGGACCCAGCAACUUAAUAGAAACUCCCUGUCUUUGGAAUUCACUAUUUUUGACAUCUCUCUAAAGAGGUUUCUGGAUAACAGUACAGGGGAUUUUAAGAAAAAUUUCGGGAUUUCUGGAGGGGUCCCAGCGAUGACGGUGUCCUUACAUCUAUAUGUGUAUACAUAUUUCCUGUAAGAACAAAAACGUCAUGUCAGAUCUUUUAAAAGAGCAUGUAAGUUGGAUCUUGAGCUCUUCAGAACAAAAUAGAAGUGUUUGGGUUUUUUUUUUCUUUCAUGAGAUUACAUUAGUUCUCAAUCCUUUAAAAGAUCGUUUCCUUUCUUCUGCUUCUCUUACUUGAUAAGUCACCAGACCUAAAUGUCAUCCUUAGCCGCACUUCCAGCCCUCCUCAGCAGCCCCAGCCCCCGCACCAGCCGUACAGGCUUCUUUGUGACUAGCUGGUCCCCUAGCUACCCAGGUUUUGUUUGCGUAAGCUCACUACAUUUAUUCAUCACCUUUGUAGUUUAGUUUAUGGAUACAUUUCACAGUUAGAAUAUGAUUUGUCCUACGCUUCCCCCCACCAACAAAGAUUUAUUUUAGAGAAAGAGAGAAAGCAGUGGGGGAGGGGCAGACUCCCCACUGAGCGUGGAGCCGGACACGGGGCUCAGUCCCACCACCCCAAGAUCAUGACCUGAGCCAAAACCAAGAGUCGGACACUCCACUGACUGAGCCACCCAGAUACCCCUGAUUCGUCCUACUCUUAAAAGGUCUCCCUGUAGGCCCUCUAACUAAAACAGCCUGGACAAACAAAAAUUUUCUUAUUUCUCAAGAAAUCUGCAAGCAGGCAACUGUUGUUUCCGUCACGCUCCUCAUUUCUCCUCCACGUACACAGUUAAGGGGAUGGGGAUGCCUAGGGGAAGAGUUCAGUAUUUGCAUAUUAAAAUUGCACACACCACAUGUUUAAAGGAAGGAUGUAGUCACAUCGUUGCAAAUAUUUUCUUCAAACUUUGCUGUCUUGAUGCUUUUUAUAGUAAAAGGAGUCAGCACACACGGCACAUUUUACCACCCUUGUUGGUACUGCAGAAAAAGCUCAUAUACCAUAAACAAGGUAAUUUUACUAGAUGCCCAGGACAGUGUCCUGUCAGCUCUGAGGAUAUGGCCUUCCAGAAGUCCAAUUUUGGAAUGCGGUAUUAAGACAAAUGCUUACUUGAUUUGGCUUUUCUACCUCUAAAAUUGAUUGAUUUGAGCUUCCUGAUGUGUUUCCUGUGAAACUUAAAUUGUUCUAUUCUUAAAGGCCAGUAACUAAAACAAAUUACCGGUUUUCUUUUAAGAACUAACCAUUUGCUGGCCUUUACAUUUUAUAAGCAUGUGAGCAGCC